GUUUUAAUAGUUUAAUAAAAACACUGGUCUUGUAAACCAAAAAUAAGAUUUUCUUUUAAAACU
rnacentral:tRNA from 1 species